AACUAGUAAGGAAAGAAAGAAAGCCAAAAUCAGCAAAGCAAUAGGACAUGCUUGAUUAGACCUAUAACAUUUAGCUAUAUGAAAAAUGAGAAAUUUUGAGUAACCACUAAACCAGAAACUAGUAGCACGCAAAAAAGGCAGCCAAAAUCAGCAAAGCAAGAGAACAUGCUUGAUUAGACCUACAACAUUUAGCAUAUGGAAAACGAGAAAUUUUGAGUAAGCAUUUCAUGGAGCAGAAGUGAGCUCCGAAAAGCAUAACCAUUGCAGUAAACUGAGUAAAUCAACAGCAUGUAACGGAAAUAACGACAAACUCACAAGAAGACGAGCCCAGUGUAACAAUGGUAGCCAAAUUUAAAAUUAAAAAAAAAAAAAAAAAAAAAAACUCAAAGACGAUAAUCCUCUGCGUUAACCAGUAGUUUUUUCAGAACAAGAAAGAGGAAAUUUACAAGAGGUUUACCAAUGAAGCACCAGUGUCUGCCUAAACGAUUCAACAGUAGAUACUCGCUUUCUUCUAAAUUAAUCUCCCUCUAAGCCUCUGAAAUUUCUCUGUUUUUUUCCCUUUUGGUGUCACUCGUUUGGCUCUUUGGUUUUUUCUGUUCGAGUUCGCUGUCUCUCUCAGCUCUAGGUUUACAAACAAAGAUGCUGUUCCCAAAUCACUCUCUUGUUUCUCUAUAGGCGCCUAGAGUUUCUGUCAAAUUCCUCAAAUCGCCUCCUCCUUUUCCAAAUCUCUCUCCCUUUCUCUCUCUAAUUUUCUCGGCUUGCUCCUGUACCCUAGGAUUUUUUCUCAAUGUUUUCCCUAAAACCCUUCCAAUUGCUUCUCUGAAUCCCCAGCUUGGGGUUCUUAUUCACUCCUGCCGAGCCAACACCACCCUCUUCACUCUGCUGCUACCCUUCCUCUUUCGGCUUAAACUUUCUCCUUUCUCACUCCGCUCCUCGCUGAUGCAUUGAUUUGACCUUGUUGGGCUUUCCCCUUUGGGGCAUGCUGAUUGACAUACGGGAGAACGAAAAGGAGAUUAUGAGCGUAGAUGAAACGAGGCCGUUUUACUGAGUUUAAAAUGCUGAGUUGACGAUUAAAAGAUUGGGCUAAAGACUUGUAAUAAUAAAAACCAAG
rnacentral:lncRNA from 1 species